rnacentral:rRNA from 1 species
CGGCGUGCUUAACACAUGCAAGUCGAACGGAAAGGCCCUGCUUUUGUGGGGUGCUCGAGUGGCGAACGGGUGAGUAACACGUGAGUAACCUGCCCUUGACUUUGGGAUAACUUCAGGAAACUGGGGCUAAUACCGGAUAGGAGCUCCUGCUGCAUGGUGGGGGUUGGAAAGUUUCGGCGGUUGGGGAUGGACUCGCGGCUUAUCAGCUUGUUGGUGGGGUAGUGGCUUACCAAGGCUUUGACGGGUAGCCGGCCUGAGAGGGUGACCGGCCACAUUGGGACUGAGAUACGGCCCAGACUCCUACGGGAGGCAGCAGUGGGGAAUAUUGCACAAUGGGCGGAAGCCUGAUGCAGCAACGCCGCGUGCGGGAUGACGGCCUUCGGGUUGUAAACCGCUUUCGCCUGUGACGAAGCGUGAGUGACGGUAAUGGGUAAAGAAGCACCGGCUAACUACGUGCCAGCAGCCGCGGUGAUACGUAGGGUGCGAGCGUUGUCCGGAUUUAUUGGGCGUAAAGGGCUCGUAGGUGGUUGAUCGCGUCGGAAGUGUAAUCUUGGGGCUUAACCCUGAGCGUGCUUUCGAUACGGGUUGACUUGAGGAAGGUAGGGGAGAAUGGAAUUCCUGGUGGAGCGGUGGAAUGCGCAGAUAUCAGGAGGAACACCAGUGGCGAAGGCGGUUCUCUGGGCCUUUCCUGACGCUGAGGAGCGAAAGCGUGGGGAGCGAACAGGCUUAGAUACCCUGGUAGUCCACGCUGUAAACGGUGGGUACUAGGUGUGGGGUCCAUUCCACGGGUUCCGUGCCGUAGCUAACGCUUUAAGUACCCCGCCUGGGGAGUACGGCCGCAAGGCUAAAACUCAAAGGAAUUGACGGGGCCCCGCACAAGCGGCGGAGCAUGCGGAUUAAUUCGAUGCAACGCGUAGAACCUUACCUGGGUUUGACAUGGAUCGGGAGUGCUCAGAGAUGGGUGUGCCUCUUUUGGGGUCGGUUCACAGGUGGUGCAUGGCUGUCGUCAGCUCGUGUCGUGAGAUGUUGGGUUAAGUCCCGCAACGAGCGCAACCCUUGUUCACUGUUGCCAGCACGUUAUGGUGGGGACUCAGUGGAGACCGCCGGGGUCAACUCGGAGGAAGGUGGGGAUGACGUCAAGUCAUCAUGCCCCUUAUGUCCAGGGCUUCACGCAUGCUACAAUGGCUGGUACAGAGAGUGGCGAGCCUGUGAGGGUGAGCGAAUCUCGGAAAGCCGGUCUCAGUUCGGAUUGGGGUCUGCAACUCGACCUCAUGAAGUCGGAGUCGCUAGUAAUCGCAGAUCAGCAACGCUGCGGUGAAUACGUUCCCGGGGCUUGUACACACCGCCCGUCAAGUCAUGAAAGUUGGUAACACCCGAAGCCGGUGGCCUAACCGAAGUGGGGGAGCCGUCGAAGGUGGGACUGGUGAUU